AACGAACGCUGGCGGCAGGCCUAACACAUGCAAGUCGAACGCCCGUAGCAAUACGGGAGUGGCAGACGGGUGAGUAACGCGUGGGAACGUGCCCUUCGGUUCGGAAUAACUCAGGGAAACUUGAGCUAAUACCGGAUACGUCCGUAAGGAGAAAGAUUUAUCGCCGAAGGAUCGGCCCGCGUCGGAUUAGCUAGUUGGUGAGGUAACGGCCCACCAAGGCGACGAUCCGUAGCUGGUCUGAGAGGANGAUCAGCCACACUGGGACUGAGACACGGCCCAGACUCCUACGGGAGGCAGCAGUGGGGAAUAUUGGACAAUGGGCGAAAGCCUGAUCCAGCCAUGCCGCGUGAGUGAAGAAGGCCUUAGGGUUGUAAAGCUCUUUCAGCGGGAAGAUAAUGACGGUACCCGCAGAAGAAGCCCCGGCUAACUUCGUGCCAGCCGCCGCGGU
rnacentral:rRNA from 1 species